ACUCAACAAAGAUUCUUUAAAAAGGGUGAGUUUUAGUUGUAAAAGCGCGCCGUCAUCCAAUUUAUUGGUAGAACGGAUUCUUGAUCAGCUUGUUAGCCCUAUACUUGUUUUAAGGAGUUU
rnacentral:sRNA from 1 species